rnacentral:rRNA from 1 species
UACGUAGGUGGCAAGCGUUGUUCGGAAUUAUUGGGCGUAAAGGGCGCGUAGGCGGCGCAACAAGUCACUUGUGAAAUCUCCGGGCUUAACCCGGAGCGGUCAAGUGAUACUGUCGUGCUAGAGUGCGGAAGGGGCAACUGGAAUUCUCGGUGUAGCGGUGAAAUGCGUAGAUAUCGAGAGGAACACCUGCGGCGAAGGCGGGUUGCUGGGCCGACACUGACGCUGAGGCGCGAAAGCCAGGGGAGCGAACGGG